UCUGCUGCAUCGUUGCUUUACAGAAUCACGAGAAUGACUCAAAUUCUCAUCUCAUGUAUUUUAUCGUCUUUGUGGCUACAAGGUCUCUUCCAGGAUGUGAUCCAGAACCCUGAAAUCAGCUUCAGUUUUGCGUCCCAAUCUGCAGAGAUGAACUGCAGCCACAAGAAAGAUGCUGGUCACACCCAGAUGUACUGGUUCAGACAGCGUCCUGGAGAAACCAUGAGACUGGUGGUCUACACAGCUUUUGGUGUGGAACCAGAAUAUGACAAGACCUCUGAGAACAAAUAUUUAGCCAUCAAAGAGAACGUGGAAAGCGGGGCUCUCACUGUGAAGAAGCUGGAGCCCGGUGACAGCGGCGUGUAUUUCUGUGCUGUCAGCAAACACAGUGAUGUGAGACACACCAGCAUCCGAACAAAAACUGCUCGACAGGAAAUUGAGAUCAUUGACUCUGAAGAACCACAUUUUGACAUUUUCAUUGUUCCUAUCGGUGGAGUUACAGCUCCAGAAAUAAUCUUCACUGUCAGCUUAAGGUGA